rnacentral:misc_RNA from 1 species
UAAGUUAUUACUCCGGACUUUUACCGGGGGUUUUGUAGGUUAUGCAACCAAAAAUACAUAGUUUCUAAAGAAUUUCUCAUGUCCUGUAAUUUCUGUAGUCCUAAUAAAUAAGCACUUUUACGUAUUCAAAAUAUUUUUGUGAAUUAGAUAAAGAAAUAAACAGAAAUUAUCCCCCCAAUCAACCAAGAGAACAAAUACAAUAAAAAAAAAACAAUUCAGUCAAGUGAAGUCAAAUAAUAAUUGCAUGUAUGUACUACAUGAUUUAUGAUUUAUUUAAAAUAAAAUUGUUUUUAAAUAGUAUCAUCUGGUAUCAUUUAGUUAUUAGUAAACAAGAACUGGUACACUAAGAUAACUAUAUAAUAAGUAGUCAAUUUGUAGUUAAAAAAUUAUGUUACAUAUAAGAACUUUUAAUAAAUUCAGGUUAUUUGAUUUUCAAUAUGUUUACAGAUCAAUAUCCUCAAUUCCAUUUGAAAAUCAGGUAAACAAGAUAGAAAACCUAGAAAAUAAUCCUCUAACAGAUUCGUUUGGCAGGCAUCAUACAUACUUGAGAAUCUCUCUUACAGAAAGGUGCAACUUGAGAUGUCAAUAUUGUAUGCCCGAAGAAGGAGUAUCACUAACAGAAAAAACUAAACUUUUAACUACAGACGAAAUCCUGUAUAUUGCUCAACUAUUUGUUAGACAGGGCGUUACAAAAAUACGUUUAACUGGGGGUGAACCUACUGUUAGAAAAGAUCUCGUUGAUAUUAUUGAAAAUUUAAAGAAAUUACCUGGCUUAGAGACUGUUGCAAUGACUACUAAUGGGUUAACUUUGACCAGACAAUUAGUUGCUCUACAAAGAGCAGGACUGGAUAUACUCAAUAUUAGUUUGGAUACACUAAAUGCAAAGAAGUAUGAGAAAAUAACCCGUAGAAAUGGAUGGAAAAAAGCAAUGGCAGGUAUAGACCUAGCCUUGCAACUUGGAUACAACCCAGUUAAAGUCAACUGUGUAGUAAUGAAAGGAUUAAAUGAUGAAGAAUUGCUAGAUUUUGUUGAACUUACAAGAGAUAAAUCUCUCGAUGUAAGAUUUAUUGAGUAUAUGCCUUUUUCUGGCAACAAGUGGCAUGAAAAUAAAAUGGUAUCGUACAAAGACAUGGUCGAUAAUAUUAAAAAGGUUUACAAAGAUUUUGGUCCUUUAGAAAAUGGACCAAACGAUACAUCUAAGGCAUGGAAAGUACAAGAUUUCAAAGGACAAAUAGGUUUCAUAACAUCAAUGAGCGAACACUUCUGUGGCUCAUGCAAUCGACUAAGACUUACGGCCGAUGGAAACCUAAAAGUGUGCCUUUUUGGCAACACAGAAAUAUCGCUACGCGAUGCGAUCAGGGCUAAGUGUUCGGAAGAUGACCUGACGACUCUGAUUGGCGCGGCAGUAAAGAGAAAAAAGAAACAACAUGCAGGCAUGUUCAAUUUAUCGCAAUUGAAGAAUCGUCCAAUGAUUCUUAUUGGUGGAUAGUAUAAAAGUAAACUGUUUUAGUGUGUAUUAAAACUAAUUAUUUUAUAGUUUCCAAAGAUUCAUCGGCAGACCUACAAUCAAAUUACUUUAAUAUUCCAAAAUCAACAUUGUAUCAUUCAAACUUAUCUCAUCUGUUCUCAAACCCGACAUCCCUAACUCUGAAACGCUGUUAUUCAACCAGAGACACUCUAUCUCACGUCAACGCACAAGGAAAAGCUUCUAUGGUAGACAUAAUAAAAAAAGAAAUCACAGUUCGGAGAGCCACAGCAUCGGCAGUUGUCAAAGUCGGUGCUGCCAUAACCAAGCUUAUUAGCGACAAUUCCGUUAAAAAAGGAGACGUGCUGAGCAUAGCUCAAAUUUCGGGGAUCUUGGGCGCGAAAAAAACUUCAGAAAUAAUUCCCCUCUGCCAUAACAUUCCCCUAA